UCCGGGGUAGCUCAACUGGCAGAGCAUCCGGCUGUUAACCGGCAGGUUGUGGGUUCGAGUCCCACCCCCGGAG
rnacentral:tRNA from 1 species